UACGGAGGGUGCAAGCGUUAAUCGGAAUUACUGGGCGUAAAGCGCGCGUAGGCGGCUCGGUCAGUCGGGUGUGAAAUCCCUGGGCUCAACCUGGGAACUGCAUUCGAUACUGCCGAGCUAGAGUGUGGGAGAGGGUGGUGGAAUUCCCGGUGUAGCGGUGAAGUGCGUAGAUAUCGGGAGGAACAUCAGUGGCGAAGGCGACCGCCUGGCCCAACACUGACGCUGAGGUGCGAAAGCGUGGGUAGCAAACAGG
rnacentral:rRNA from 1 species